GGUAGCAUGCCAGAGUGGUUAAUGGGUGGGACUUGAAUACAUCAACCAUAUCCCAUGGCUUCGGCCGCGUAGGUUCGAACCCUACUGCUAUCG